AUGGAGGCCACCCACCAGCAUCUCCUGGCGCUCUGGCAUCAGCUGCACCUGGACCCGCGCAGCCUCGGGGUAGCAGGUCAAGCUAUUAAUAAAUGCUGUGUGGUAAUGAUGGUGUACAGUAGGCCAUCCAUCCUCAUCCUCUGCUGGCUUGUCUCCGUGUUCCUAUAUUUGCAAAGGACUGAAAUACUCAGCUGAGCAAUCACUUUAUCUCCAUACAUAUUAUAGAAGCAUAGUUGAGCAAAAGGUUAGAUUUUCAGUUAAGCGUCCUCAGGUGAUCAUACUUGCCAAAAAGCUCCAUACAGCAUGACAGCAAGACUCUCAAGAAUCAAGCAGUAGGGCCACAAAAGAGAAGCCUCACUGCUCACAGAUGGAGAUGCUGAUGGAAUUUCAUAAAAUGGGCAAAAGAUAACUCUCUGACUGCAAGGCUUAGUUCCUGCCACAAAAAAACUUACUGCAAGAAAGGUGUUGUGAAAGAGCUUCUCAAUAUUUGCAAGAUUUUUUGCAGCCAUCAUUAACUGACUUAAAUGUGAGAGUGGCUCCCACUUUCUUCUGUGCAGAGACAGUGAAGAAGUUAUUAGAAAAAGAGUUGCUGUGUAACUGCACUAAGAUCAUGGUAUGAAUAUUUGGUAAUAUUUUUUAAAUGUCAAUUCUGUCACUAUCGAUUAACUGUUUCAAAACAUCUUGUGAGGUGCCUGUAUGUUGCUUAUUAUGCUGUAUGAGGGCACAGUGGGAAUAUUUAUUUAAACAAAGGAUAUAUUUUCAUUGCCGAGAAUCUGGUUUUGAAGGCAGGAGGGGAAAAGGAGACUUAACAGAUUCUUCAGUUCCACAAGAUCUGCAUUCUUGCUUUUAAGUUAAUCACAGUAUGCCAUUAGCAGCCUUACAUGAAACAAUUGCCUAUGUGUGUUACCAUUCUACAACAGCUUAUCCCACAGGGAUCAAAAUAGCAUUUGCUUUGGCUGCAUCAGUGUCAUUGCAUAAGGAUAGCCUCGCUCUAGCUCUUUAUGAAGUUAUUUAAUGUUAUGGUUUUGUUCUUUUGCAAAUACCUGUGCAUUGUUGAUGCUACUUGGUUCCAUAGCUUUGAUAUGAUACCUGGCUGCCUUUUCUGGCUGAAAAGUGUGUAAAAUUUUAAGGCACCUAUUUUCUAUUUUUUUUGAAGUGGCCUAGCUUCAUUCACCUACAAAAUCAGCUCUGUCUAAGCCUAAAGAUGUCUGUUGACCUAUUCAAUUUUUCUUUUAUUACUUAUGCACUCAAAUCUGUAGUGUGGAUGUAGCUGCAGCUGCUUGAUAGUACUGUAGAGUCAGCUCCUCAAUGAGACGCGGCUAUGGUAGAGUAGGAAUAGAAAACGGUAUGAUGAGAGGAGUGCUUUUUCAUAAGAAAAAUUGCAUCUACGUGAAGAAGGACCAGAAAGAUGAAGGAAGCAGACAGGUUGAUAGUUUGCACUGUGCUAAUUAAUUUCAGAAUCUAAAAAUAUCUAGUGAAGGCGUUUGACUUCUUCAUGGCUUUGAAAAUUGGCUUAGGUUUUACAAACUUUUAGGCAACAGAUUAGCUGCUACUGACUUCAAGCAAUCAAUCAACUGAAAGACUUUUAGGUAUACAGAUUACAGCUUUAUAAACAUCUAUCUUAUAGUUAUCUCCUUGAAGUUGCUUCAGGAAUGCUGAUAUUAUUUCACGUCUAUUUUGUAUAGAUUUAUGUUAGGGUGAAAUGGGUGAUUUCUAUGAUGAUGGACAUGAAAAUUGAAAGGUUUAAAAAUAAUAGUUUACUUUAAAAUUUUAGCAGAAAUACAACAGUAUUGUACAAGAGCAAGUGAGAUAAAAUGAGGAACAGAAACAUUUGAAUACUCUGAUUUUGAAAUAAAAUAGUAAAGCAACAUAACUUUUUAUAGUCUCCUCCAAUCCACAAAGCCCAGCCAAAAGCAGAGAGUUUUUUGGUUUUUGUUUUUUUUUUUAAUCUGUGGAAAAGUAAUAGAAUGUGGGAUAAAACAGCCUGGGAGAAGGGAUUUAGUAGAGCUAAAGUCAAUACAACUAACUGAGAAUGCAAGUGCUUUUUUGGUAGAAGACACAAUGGCUCCUUCACUGCACAAGGGAAUGAGGGCUUGGACUGCAGUGACCAAUCUGAAGCCAAAAAGAAAGACUGGGGUGUUUAGGCCUUUCACCUGGGACAGAGAAAGAUAUUUUAAUCCAGAUCUACUAAAUCUCAGCAAGCACUGUUUCCUAGAUUCUGGAGCCACCUUCCUCCUCCAGUGAAUGUUUAACUAUUUGACGUAGAACAGCUGAAGAGAAAAACAGCGAAAAUUAGUCUGCAAAUAACCUGUAAUCUGUGAAAUUAUAUUUUUUGGUUGCUAGUUGUAAGCAAAGCAGAAAGACAAGUCUGGAGAAGUUUGAAAUCAUAAAAACGUGUGUUGGAGAAGGAAACAGUUUCUCAUAUGUGCUUCUGUAACAGGGCUCCACAAUUCACACCAUCUUUCUUCAGCUUCUUCCAGAGCUUUCCCAUUAUACAGUCUGAGUCUGUCAUGUGAGUCUUUUCUCUGAUUCUGUAACUUCCAAGAUAGACUAAAUUAAGGGAAGGUUGAGCCUAGUGUCCUUAAAAGAUGGCUUGCUAUGUGACAAACCUCAAAUAUUAUUUUCUCAUACAAUGUAAAUAGUACCGUGCUUCUGGAAAUCUCUAGUCCAGAUUAAUGUUGAGAAUAGAUGCUUCCUAAAUAGUUUAUUUGUUG